GGGGAGAAUGGGGGUGUUCUAGAAAGAAGAGGGCUGGGCUGAGCUGUGUGUAGCAUCUAUCCAGUCUUUUAAGGAUAUGUCGGCAGGGAUCAUGAAUCAGCCUACGAAUCCUACAAUAUCAAGGCUAAGGCAUCCCUUGGGCUGCAAGAACCCGUUGAGUAAAGCAGCACCUGCCCAAGUCUGUGUUUAGAUGCCUCGAGCCUGAUGCUUCCAACUAACAUAGAAAUGCCAAGGCCCAGCAUGCUUUCCUGGCCAUCCUACACCCUUGUUGAAAUCCAGAGGCUCAUGGACUUAAAAGUUCUUCAAAAAUGAAGCCAGCUAGCUUCUACCCCCAUGCCACAGCAGCCCUGCACAGAUUGGGUGAAGAAGGGAAAGGUGAGCUCUGAUCCUGGAACUUCUUCCCUGCCCUCUGCCAGCUCCCACCUCGCCACCACCCUGGGUUCUGGAACCACGCCAGGCAGGGC
rnacentral:lncRNA from 1 species